rnacentral:piRNA from 1 species
AAGUUAUAGGAUGUACUGA